rnacentral:rRNA from 1 species
GAUGAACGCUGGCGGCGUGCCUAAUACAUGCAAGUCGAGCGAACGGACGAGAAGCUUGCUUCUCUGAUGUUAGCGGCGGACGGGUGAGUAACACGUGGAUAACCUACCUAUAAGACUGGGAUAACUUCGGGAAACCGGAGCUAAUACCGGAUAAUAUUUUGAACCGCAUGGUUCAAAAGUGAAAGAGGGUCUUGCUGUCACUUAUAGAUGGAUCCGCGCUGGAUUAGCUAGUUGGUAAGGUAACGGCCUACCAAGGCAACGAUGCAUAGCCGACCUGAGAGGGUGAUCGGCCACACUGGAACUGAGACACGGUCCAGACUCCUACGGGAGGCAGCAGUAGGGAAUCUUCCGCAAUGGGCGAAAGCCUGACGGAGCAACGCCGCGUGAGUGAUGAAGGUCUUCGGAUCGUAAAACUCUGUUAUUGGGGAAGAACAUAUGUGUAAGUAACUGUGCACAUCUUGACGGUACCUAAUCAAAAAGCCACGGCUAACUACGUG